rnacentral:tRNA from 1 species
GAGGGUGUAGCUCGGUGGUAGAGCGUAUGCUUAGCACGCAUGAGGUCCUGGGUUCAAUCCUCAGUACCUCCA